rnacentral:lncRNA from 1 species
UUUCUGUUAUGUGACUGUUUUAAAACGAAAGACUAUCGUAUAUAUCGUGAAAUGUUGAUCUUACAUAACCUAACCCAACUUUUGCAGUUUGUUAAUAAUCCGAUUACGGACAACCGGAUAGACGGAUGAAAGCACGCGGGGAACGAAUACGGAACCCCCUUUGAGCGGUCAGGAUUUAUACCGUGUUUUGUUCUGGCAGAGGGGCGCGUACGCAGAAAACGGACUCCGUGCCAACAACGUUGCCAACGAUAUCAUGAAUGGUGCUGUUGUAAACGAUAUCGAAAUGCAACCCUCUGUUUCCGUUUUGUUCAAUAAUAGAUUUCCCCCAUUCUGCGGUUUCCUUUUAUUCGCAUGAAGAUUAAGUUACGU